rnacentral:rRNA from 1 species
AGUCGAGCGAGCUUGCCUAGAUGAAUUUGGUGCUUGCACCAGAUGAAACUAGAUACAAGCGAGCGGCGGACGGGUGAGUAACACGUGGGUAACCUGCCCAAGAGACUGGGAUAACACCUGGAAACAGAUGCUAAUACCGGAUAACAACACUAGACGCAUGUCUAGAGUUUAAAAGAUGGUUCUGCUAUCACUCUUGGAUGGACCUGCGGUGCAUUAGCUAGUUGGUAAGGUAACGGCUUACCAAGGCAAUGAUGCAUAGCCGAGUUGAGAGACUGAUCGGCCACAUUGGGACUGAGACACGGCCCAAACUCCUACGGGAGGCAGCAGUAGGGAAUCUUCCACAAUGGACGCAAGUCUGAUGGAGCAACGCCGCGUGAGUGAAGAAGGGUUUCGGCUCGUAAAGCUCUGUUGGUAGUGAAGAAAGAUAGAGGUAGUAACUGGCCUUUAUUUGACGGUAGUUACUUAGAAAGUCACGGCUAACUACGUGCCAGCAGCCGCGGUAAUACGUAGGUGGCAAGCGUUGUCCGGAUUUAUUGGGCGUAAAGCGAGUGCAGGCGGUUCAAUAAGUCUGAUGUGAAAGCCUUCGGCUCAACCGGAGAAUUGCAUCAGAAACUGUUGAACUUGAGUGCAGAAGAGGAGAGUGGAACUCCAUGUGUAGCGGUGGAAUGCGUAGAUAUAUGGAAGAACACCAGUGGCGAAGGCGGCUCUCUGGUCUGCAACUGACGCUGAGGCUCGAAAGCAUGGGUAGCGAACAGGAUUAGAUACCCUGGUAGUCCAUGCCGUAAACGAUGAGUGCUAAGUGUUGGGAGGUUUCCGCCUCUCAGUGCU